rnacentral:rRNA from 1 species
CCCGCUGAACUUAAGCAUAUCAAUAAGCGGAGGAAAAGAAACCAACAGGGAUUGCCUUAGUAACGGCGAGUGAAGCGGCAACAGCUCAAAUUUGAAAUCUGGCCUUCUGGUAGGAAUUAUAAGUUGUAGAGGAUGCAUGAGUCAUGUUCCGGUCUAAGUUAGUUGCAACAGGAGGUCAUAGAGGGUGAGAAUGAGGUAUGUGAGUGGGUGCAUAAGCCUGUGUGAAGGUCCUUUGGCGAGUUGAGUUGUUUGGGAAUGCAGCUUAAAAUGGGUAGUAAAUUUUAUUUAAAGCUAAAUAUUGGCCAGAGACCGAUAGCGCACAAGUAGAGUGAUCGAAAGAUGAAAAGCACUUUGGAAAGAGAGUUAAACAGUACGUGAAAUUGUUGAAAGGGAAGCGUUUGCAACCAGACUUGCGUGCAGUUGAUCAUCCAAUGUUUUCGGUGUGUGCACUCAUUUGUAUUCAGGCCAGCAUUGAUUUUGGUGUUUGGAUCAAGACCUUGGGAAUGUAGCUUCCAUUGGGAGUAUGAUAUACCUUGGUGCAAUACAUCCUUCUAGGGCCGAAGGUCGCGCUCCGGCUAGGAUGCUGGCAUAAUGGUAGUAAACGACCCGUCUUGAAACACGG